GACGAACGCUGGCGGCGUGCUUAACACAUGCAAGUCGAACGGAAAGGCCCUGCUUUUUUGGGGUGCUCGAGUGGCGAACGGGUGAGUAACACGUGAGUAACCUGCCCUUGACUUUGGGAUAACUUCAGGAAACUGGGGCUAAUACCGGAUAGGAGCUCCUGCUGCAUGGGGGGGGUUGGAAAGUUUCGGCGGGUGGGGAUGGACUCGCGGCUUAUCAGCUUGUUGGUGGGGUAGUGGCCUACCCAGGCUUUGACGGGUAGCCGGCCUGAGAGGGUGAACGGCGACAUUGGGACUGAGAUACGGACCAGACUCGUACGGGAGGCAGCAGUGGGGAAUAUUGCACAAUGGGCGGAAGUCUGAUGCAGCAACGCCGCGUGCGGGAUGACGGCCUUCGGGUUGUAAACCGCUUUCGCCUGUGACGAAGCGUGAGUGACGGUAAUGGGUAAAGAAGCACCGGCUAACUACGUG
rnacentral:rRNA from 1 species